rnacentral:misc_RNA from 1 species
AUUAAGAAACUCCAACUAGUGUAAACAUUGUGCAGUAGAAUGGACAUAAUGCAUUCAGUACCAGUGGCAUAACUUGUCAGCCAACACCAUUAAUAAGCAUGAGUUACAAGUGUAGGAACAAAGGGCAUAUGGUUAGAAAAAAAUGCAGCACUAUCACAUGUACCAAAACAUAUCAUUUCUCAGUCAAUCUUCCGCAGGCAUGGUUUGUUAGCAGUUCAAUACAAGACAAUUACAUCAUACAUGAUGCUUACAGUAAUUUCCAAGUAAAUCAAACACUUGAAUACCUGACAUCCAGAAUAGAAA